AGGCAGACCAUGGGCGCUUGGGCGGCGUUUAGCAUUUGGAUAGAUGUGGAGGAGGGUGAAUGGGCGGGAUUUGUGGUAUGUCCGGGGUUGUUAUGUUUUAUUAAGUACCUUGUGCUUCACAAGAUCGACGUAUAGUCGAAGAAUUGAACCACGGACGCCUAUGUUAUAGGCAGCUUUGAAUGAGCCCACUCGCUGGGUCUACAUCACUGGGAUUUUCCACGGCUAGUUGAAAAUUCCCAGAGUUGGACAGGAUUUCCAAUAGUUCUUCCAUUUCGUGUCUGAUCGUGCAAGGGUUUACUUCUUGUUUCUACCGAGAUGAAGCGAUCACGGAGGAGCGAAUUGUGGAAUGAUUUCGCUAUUCUAGAUCAAGAGUAUGCGAAAUGUGGUUUACGCCAAAAAGUCGUACAGAACCAGCACGACGAACUUGAAGAAACAUGUCGAAAGGUCGCAUAUAAUGGUGAACUUUGCGACAAAUUCUUCAAGAUCCGUCGACCCUGUGUUGCCUGAGCCAGGUGAAGCCUCUCCUGCAGCGUAGCUGCCAGAAGGAGGCACAACAGCAGCAGGACACUGGGGGAAGCAGUUCCCUCCACAUCACAGCAUCGGAUAGCCAUCAGGGAAUAUGUCCCCAAAAAGAUGGGACUGAUUCAAAGGAAGGUCGACAGCAAAUUAAUGGGUCUGUUUACAAAAGAGUAUCAACCCUUCUCUGUUGUAAAUGACCUGGUAUUCCGUAGUUUUGUCCGUGCACUGAAUCCCGCUUAUGAAAUCCCAAGCAGAAGAGCUGUAACGUAAGUAAUGUUGCCAGCAGCAUAUGCCGAAGCAAAUGAGAAAGUACAUAAAAAGCUGCUAGGUAUGAAGACAAUCUGUUUAACAACAGAUUGUUGGACAUCAGCUUACAAUGCCUAUGACUGGUCACUUCAUAACUGAACACUUCAAAUUACAGUCUGUACUGCUGGAAUGCAGUCCUUUCAGAUAAACGUAGUCUUGGUGGCAAAAUUUUAAUGGCAGUCAGACAAUGCACCAAAUGUGAAAAAUGCAGUUUCCACCCUUCUCAAGUGAAAACAUUUUGGUUGUUAUGUCCGUAUGCUUAAUUUAGCUGUGCAAGAUGCGCUUAACAACAUUCAGGAAGUCCACCAGAUAGUGAAGACAAUUGUAGGUUUUUUUAAAAGAAUGAUAAGUGCAACAGAGUGGCUCUUAACAUGCCAACAGAACAGUGACAAAGUAAACAUUAAGAAAUUGAUACAGGGCUUGCCCACAAGAUGGAAUCCACUCUGUUUAUGUUGGAACAUCUUGUUGGAUUAUCAGAGGCAGUAAAAAUUACAGUUACCCUUUGUAACUGGCCCACAGAACUCCCAUUACUGUCAAAUGAUGAGUGGGAAAUCUGCUUCGAACUCUGUUCGAUUUUGAAACCAUUUGAACAGGUUUCGAAGCAGCUCAGUGCAGAAGACUAUCCGAGUCACAGCUUAGUUCUGACAUGUGACCUUCUGCCAGUGUGUGAUGGAGUUGCCAAAAUGCAGUUACAAGAAAUUUCAAUGAAAGUUGUUAAUGCACUGAAAGAGGGACUUACAACAGGUUACAGAAUCUUCAUCAGAGCAAAUCCAUUGCCCUUGCCACUCUGCUGGAUCCACGGUUCACAUUGCUGGCAUUUCAGAACCAACAGCAGCAGAUGACACGAAGAAACAGUUAGUUUAUAUUGUUGCCCAGAAACUAGAAGAAUGUAGACCAGAAGGUAUUCAACCUUCACAACAACCUGCUGAGCCAAAUAAUCUGACAACCGAGUCCUUCUCUGUGUGGGGCAUAUUUGGUGAGUUAGUGAAACAUGCACAGCCACGGGGGACAGUACAGCCGUGCUAUUGUAGAGGUCCAAAGAUAUGUUGACAGCUCAGCCAUCAGUAGAAAUGAGGAUCCCCUGGCAUGGUGGAGACAAAAUCAGUACAUUUACCCAGCCACCACAAAAGUAGUGCAAGAGAUUCAAUGUCGUUGCAACUUCUGCACCUUGUGAGAGGGUGUUUCCUAAUAACAGGAUAUUUAAUAAAUGAUAGAACCCAUUUCAAGCCAUCACAUAUCCAGAAACUAAUAUUUCUGAAUGUGAAUGGUACUUGUGAUUAGACACUGUUGCUGGUAAGUGACACAGCAUCAGAACACAGUACAGUCUUAAACUGUUCAUAAGCAGCAUAAUUGCAUUUGAUUACAUAGAGGUAACUAGGUACUUUCAACACAACCAAACAAGACUGCACAACUGUAUGAUUCCUAGCAAAAUGUAAAAUAUGUGAGUAUUUGUGUCAAAUAUGUAGAGGAAACUAUUUACUCUUCUUGUGCACAUGUUGCCAUGUAGAAACUUGUGAACUUAUUUGUAUUUUGAUUACAUGUAGGUAACGGGUCACUUUCAACACAAAAAGACCUCGUAACUGUAUAAUGCCUAGCAAAACGUAAAAUAUGCGAGUAUUCUGAUGUUUUGUAAUUCAUGUUAAGAAUAAUUUUUGCAGGAAUAAGUUAUUUAGGAUGUAUGGAAUAUAACUAGGAACAUGAGUGAAAUGAAAUGUU